rnacentral:piRNA from 1 species
UGGAUAAUGGGAAGGACAUAAACUUCA